rnacentral:sRNA from 1 species
GUCGCGGACGAAGAAGAAGACGAAUGGGAAGACGAAGAAGGAACCGAACCAGCGAC